CCUACGGGCGGCAGCAGUGGGGAAUAUUGCACAAUGGGCGCAAGCCUGAUGCAGCCAUGCCGCGUGUGUGAAGAAGGCCUUCGGGUUGUAAAGCACUUUCAGCGGGGAGGAAGGCGGUGAGGUUAAUAACCUCAUCGAUUGACGUUACCCGCAGAAGAAGCACCGGCUAACUCCGUGCCAGCAGCCGCGGUAAUACGGAGGGUGCAAGCGUUAAUCGGAAUUACUGGGCGUAAAGCGCACGCAGGCGGUCUGUCAAGUCGGAUGUGAAAUCCCCGGGCUCAACCAGGGAACUGCAUUCGAAACUGGCAGGCUAGAGUCUUGUAGAGGGGGGUAGAAUUCCAGGUGUAGCGGUGAAAUGCGUAGAGAUCUGGAGGAAUACCGGUGGCGAAGGCGGCCCCCUGGACAAAGACUGACGCUCAGGUGCGAAAGCGUGGGGAGCAAACAGGAUAGAUACCCUGGUAGUC
rnacentral:rRNA from 1 species